rnacentral:lncRNA from 1 species
AAAGGAAUAUCCUUCUCUAUUUACCAUUAAAAUUCUAUCAAAGUGGGAGGCCCAAUGGAUAACAGGAGUAUUCCUGGAAGCCAUUCCUACGUGGGCAUGGCUAGCAAUAUCUUAACAAUACAUAGAAAUGACCAUGAACCACACAAAAAUAUCCCACUAAACCCAAAGUAAAUGUAUCUCGCUGGAGGUAAGAAUGGAGAGUGAGGCAAAUGAGCCUGAGGAAUCUUUCUAGAGUG